CGUAGGGUGCAAGCGUUGUCCGGAUUUAUUGGGCGUAAAGAGCUCGUAGGCGGUCAGUCACGUCGGAUGUGAAAACCCGGAGCUUAACUCCGGGCCUGCAUUCGAUACGGGCUGACUAGAGUGUUGUAGGGGAGACUGGAACUCCUGGUGUAGCGGUGAAAUGCGCAGAUAUCAGGAAGAACACCGGUGGCGAAGGCGGGUCUCUGGGCAACUACUGACGCUGAGGAGCGAAAGCGUGGGGAGCAAACAGGAUUAGAUACCCUGGUAGUCCACGCCGUAAACGGUGGGCGCUAGGUGUGGGGAACAUUCCACGUUCUCCGUGCCGCAGCUAACGCAUUAAGCGCCCCGCCUGGGGAGUACGGCCGCAAGGCUA
rnacentral:rRNA from 1 species